rnacentral:rRNA from 1 species
UACGGAGGAUCCAAGCGUUAUCCGGAUUUAUUGGGUUUAAAGGGUGCGUAGGCGGCUUAUUAAGUCAGGGGUGAAAGACGGUGGCUCAACCCUCGCAGUGCCUUUGAUACUGAUGAGCUUGAAUACACUAGAGGUAGGCGGAAUGUGACAAGUAGCGGUGAAAUGCAUAGAUAUGUCACAGAACACCGAUUGCGAAGGCAGCUUACUAUGGUGUCAUUGACGCUGAGGCACGAAAGCGUGGGGAUCAAACAGG